UACGUGGGGUACAAGCAUUAUCCGGUUUUAUUGGGCGUAAAGAGAAGCGUAGGCGACUUGGUAAGUUUGAUGUUAAAUUACUCUGCUUAACAGAGAAUAUGCAUUGAAUACUACUAGGAUUGAGUCAAGUAGAGAAAAGGGGAAUUCCUGGUGGAGCGGUUAAAUGCGUUGAUAUCAGGAGGAACACCAAUUGCGAAGGCACCUUUUUGGACUUGUACUGACGCUAAGGCUCGAAAGCGUGGGGAGCAAA
rnacentral:rRNA from 1 species